UGUAUGCCCUGGUUAUACUCGAUACCAGUAUAAAAGAAAAAAGCAGCGGCUUUUUCUCAGCUGGUUCGUGGGCUUGCUCUUCCCUUACCUUUAGUGUCUUUGAGUUAUAACGUACGUUGAAAAGGCAUGGGUUUUCGUGUCGAUCGCGGUGGUGGCGGAGUAACCAAACAGGGCAGUGGAUUUGAGAUGUCGAGGUUCCAUGUAGGUGGAAAAGUAGUGGACAAGGUUGAUUUGCUUAGAAAGAAACACAAAGCAUGGAGAUUAGAUGUUUGGCCUUUCGCAAUUCUCUAUCUCCUUUGGCUAAUUAUCGUAGUUCCUAGCAUAGAUUUUGUUGAUGCAGCCAUCGUCUUCGGCGGCCUUGUUGUUACUCAUAUAUUGGUCUUGCUAUUCACCGCUUGGUCCGUUGAUUUCAAGUGCCUUAUUCAGUAUAGUAAGGUUAAUGAUAUUCACCUUGCUGAUGCCUGCAAAAUUACUCCAGCGAAGUUUUCUGGUUCAAAAGAGAUAGUACCACUUCAUUUUCGUAAACAGGUGGCAAGUUCUUCAUCAGCAACAAAUGCAAAGGAGAUUUACUUUGAUUUCAGGAAGCAGCACUUCAUCUAUUCUAAGGAGGGGGAGAGCUUUUGCAAACUUCCAUACCCUACCAAGGAAACAUUUGGCUAUUACCUGAAAUGUUCUGGCCAUGGCUCUGAGGCUAAAGUUCUUGCUGCAACUGAAAAAUGGGGACGGAAUGUCUUUGAAUACCCAAAACCUACUUUUCAGAAAUUAAUGAAAGAGCAUUGCAUGGAGCCCUUUUUUGUAUUUCAGGUCUUCUGUGUUGGUCUUUGGUGUCUCGAUGAGUAUUGGUAUUACAGUUUGUUCACCUUAUUCAUGCUGUUUAUGUUUGAGUCAACAAUGGCAAAAAGUCGGUUGAAGACUUUAAGUGAGUUAAGACGUGUUAGAGUGGACGGCCAGACUCUAAUGGUGCAUCGUUGUGGCAAGUGGGUGAAACUUUCUGGUACCGAUCUAUUGCCUGGGGAUGUUGUCUCCAUUGGUCGAUCGACUGGUCAAAAUGGGGAAGAUAAGUCUGUACCUGCAGACAUGCUUAUACUAGCAGGAAGUGCUAUUGUGAAUGAAGCCAUUCUCACAGGCGAGUCUACUCCCCAAUGGAAGGUUUCUAUAAUGGGCAAGGGAAUUGAGGAGAAGCUAUCUGCCAAGCGUGAUAAAAAUCAUAUUUUGUUUGGUGGGACUAAAAUAUUGCAGCACACUGCUGACAAGAGCUUCCCUCUGAAAACUCCUGAUGGCGGCUGCUUGGCUGUCAUUCUGCGCACUGGGUUUGAAACAAGUCAAGGGAAACUUAUGAGGACAAUUUUGUUUUCUACAGAGAGGGUUACUGCUAACAGCUGGGAAAGUGGCUUCUUCAUCUUAUUUCUUGUUGUGUUUGCGAUAAUUGCUGCUGGUUAUGUACUUAAAAAGGGGCUGGAAGAUCCUACAAGAAGCAAGUACAAGCUCUUCCUAAGUUGUUCUCUUAUUAUUACUUCUGUGAUUCCUCCAGAGCUACCAAUGGAAUUAUCAAUAGCUGUUAAUACAUCUUUGAUUGCCCUUGCUCGGCGUGGAAUAUUUUGUACAGAGCCUUUUCGAAUCCCAUUUGCUGGAAAGGUUGACAUUUGUUGUUUCGAUAAAACUGGAACACUGACAUCAGAUGAUAUGGAGUUCUCUGGAGUUGUUGGGUUAAGUGACAGUUCAGACUUAGAAUCUGAUAUGACUAAAGUUUCUCCCCGCACGGUUGAGAUUCUGGCUUCUUGUCAUGCCUUGGUGUUUGUAGACAACAAGCUGGUUGGUGAUCCUCUUGAGAAGGCUGCACUAAAAGGAAUUGAUUGGAGUUAUAAAUCUGAUGAGAAGGCUAUUCCAAAAAAGGGAAGUGGCAAUGCUGUGCAGAUUGUGCAGAGGCACCAUUUUGCAUCCCACUUGAAAAGAAUGGCAGUUGUUGUUCGUGUCCAGGAGGAGUUUUUCGCUUUUGUCAAGGGUGCACCUGAGACUAUCCAAGAUAGACUCAUUGAUUUGCCUCCAGCAUAUGUUGAAACCUACAAGAAAUAUACACGUCAAGGGUCUCGUGUGCUGGCCCUUGCUUACAAGUCUCUUCCAGAUAUGACAGUUAGUGAAGCUAGAAGCAUGGAGAGGGAUACUGUAGAGUGUGGCCUCACAUUUGCUGGUUUUGCUGUAUUUAACUGUCCUAUUAGAGCAGACUCUUCAGCUAUUCUAUCUGAAUUAAAGAAUUCUUCACAUGAUUUGGUGAUGAUAACUGGUGAUCAAGCUUUGACAGCUUGCCAUGUUGCUGCCCAAGUUCAUAUUGUAUCGAAACCAGCAUUGAUCCUUGGUCCGGUGAAGAAUAGUGAAGGAUAUGAGUGGGUAUCACCAGAUGAGACUGAGAGGAUUCGCUACAGUGAGAAAGAGGUUGAAGCUUUGUCGAAAACUCAUGAUCUCUGUAUUGGAGGUGACUGCAUUGAAAUGUUACAACAGACUUCUACUAUUUUACGAGUCAUUCCUUUUGUUAAGGUUUUUGCAAGAGUUGCUCCGGAGCAGAAAGAACUAAUCAUGACCACUUUCAAGACAGUGGGAAGGAUGACUUUAAUGUGUGGUGAUGGUACCAAUGAUGUUGGAGCUCUUAAGCAGGCCCAUGUAGGUGUUGCCCUAUUGAAUGCAGUGCUCCCUGCUAAAAGUGAAAGCUCCUCACCAGGAACAUCUAAAGAUGAUAGCACGAAGUCAUUGAAGUCAAAGAAACCUAAGGUCAAUGUAGAAGCAACGGGCAAAACUGGGAGUCUUAAUGCAGAAGCCUCUUCAAAAGGAAAAGUUGCCACAAGAUCAGAAUCUAGCAACCAUGCAACCAAUAACCGACAUCUUAAUGCUGCAGAGAUGCAUCGGCAGAAGCUGAAGAAGCUGAUGGAUGAGCUGAAUGAGGAGGGUGAUGGUCGCUCAGCUCCUAUUGUCAAACUGGGGGAUGCCUCGAUGGCAUCGCCAUUUACAGCAAAGCAUGCAUCAGUUGCCCCAACCACUGACAUAAUUCGUCAAGGACGCAGCACCCUUGUGACUACCCUUCAAAUGUUCAAAAUACUUGGCCUUAACUGCCUUGCUACAGCGUAUGUUUUAAGUGUGAUGUAUUUGGAUGGCGUCAAGCUGGGUGAUGUCCAGGCUACGAUCAGUGGUGUAUUUACUGCUGCUUUUUUCCUGUUUAUCUCACAUGCUCGCCCACUUCCCACCCUUUCAGCUGCACGGCCCCACCCCAAUAUUUUCUGUUCCUAUGUCUUCCUCUCUCUCAUGGGACAGUUUGCAAUCCACCUGUUUUUCUUGAUUUCUUCUGUGAAAGAGGCUGAGAAACACAUGCCUGCGGAAUGCAUUGAGCCAGACUCUGAGUUUCACCCUAAUCUAGUGAACACAGUUUCAUACAUGGUGAGCAUGAUGCUUCAGGUAGCAACAUUUGCAGUGAACUACAUGGGUCAUCCUUUCAACCAGAGCAUCCCUGAAAACAAACCAUUCUUGUACGCACUUGUAGCUGCUGUUGGUUUCUUUGUGGUUAUAACUUCUGAUCUAUUUAGGGACUUGAAUGAUUGGUUGAAGUUGGUUCCUUUGCCUAUGGGAUUAAGGGAUAAGCUAUUGCUGUGGGCUCUACUAAUGUUUCUGGGCUGCUAUGCGUGGGAGAGAUUGUUAAGAUGGGUUUUCCCUGGUAAAAUCCCAGCUUGGAGGAAACGCCAGCGGGUUGCAGCUGCAAAUUCAGAGAAGAAGCUGGUCUAAGUGAACAGAGAAUUGACAUGAAGAAUUUGCACUUACUAAUAGAAGCAAAGCUAGAAUGGUAAAAGGAUUAUUAUAAAGAUUAUUAUACCGAAUUAGCUCUAGAUAUGCAAUUGUUGUUUUAAUCAUUUCGCUUCAAUCAAUCCCUUAGAAUGGGAAUUUUUGUUAAAUGUUAUUCUCUAGAGUGAAAAGGUGAUUCUUUGGGAAGUAUAAACUGUGAUUUUAGUUUUAGCUCAGGUGACUCGAAAGAGUAGUUUCGACACUUAUGAUCACAAAUUUUAGGCAUUCAUGGUGAUUGUUGGCAUCCGUGACUACUUACGUGAUGACUGUUGUCUUACGAGAAGGUUAUUAUAAUCAUAUUGGAACAAGAUAGAUGCUGCCCUUUUUUUUUUUUUUUUUGU